rnacentral:rRNA from 1 species
CAAGUAGGCGGUUGUCAAAGUUGGGCGUGACAAAUCUCGGCUUAACUGAGAAGGGUCGUUCAAAACUAGACAACUAGAGGGCAGAAGAGGAAAGCGGAACUCCUGAUGUAGCGGUGGAAUGCUUAGAUAUCAGGAAGAACACCAGUGGCGAAGGCGGCUUUCUGGUCUGCACCUGACGCUGAGAGGCGAAGGCUAGGGUAGCAAACAGGAUUAGAUACCCUGGUAGUCC